rnacentral:tRNA from 1 species
GGGGGCGGUUGGGGUCUGGUGGCCCUCGCGGUCUUCAAAACCGUUUGAGAGGCGGGCAACUCCCGUCUCUGGUGGGUUCGAUUCCCACGCGCUCCCGCCA